AUAUAAAUCAGUACAAAUAGUAAUAGAAGAGUGAACCUUUAAGGUAGGCAUGUAUCUAUAAAAUGAAGCUCUUGGGAGACUUGCUUCAGGGAGACCCAGGCCCGGCUGUCCAUCUCCACCUUGAGGCCUGGCCCUCUGCAGAUUCACCUUCAGCCACAAUUUUGAGGUCUUCAUCUUCCGCACUGACUCAAAGUGAUGGAUUCAAAGCCAAGACGAAGGAGAGAAAUGCAUGAAGAAUGGAAGGAACAGUAUUG
rnacentral:lncRNA from 1 species